rnacentral:rRNA from 1 species
UACGGGGGGAGCAAGCGUUGUUCGGAUUUACUGGGCGUAAAGGGCGCGUAGGCGGCCAGCGCAAGUCAGUUGUGAAAUCUCCGGGCUUAACUCGGAACGGUCAACUGAUACUGCGCGGCUAGAGUGCGGAAGGGGCAACUGGAAUUCUCGGUGUAGCGGUGAAAUGCGUAGAUAUCGAGAGGAACACCUGCGGCGAAGGCGGGUUGCUGGGCUGAUACUGACGCUGAGGCGCGAAAGCCAGGGGAGCGAACGGG